rnacentral:rRNA from 1 species
UACGUAGGUGGCAAGCGUUGUCCGGAUUUACUGGGCGUAAAGAGCGCGCAGGCGGUCGGCCAAGUCGAGUGUGAAAGCCCCCGGCUCAACUGGGGAGGGUCAUUCGAUUACUGGUCGACUCGAAGGCAGGAGAGGGAAGCGGGAAUUCCCGGUGUAGUGGUGAAAUGCGUAGAUAUCGGGAGGAACACCAGUGGCGAAGGCGGCUUCCGUGGCCUGUUCGUUGACGCUGAC